rnacentral:lncRNA from 1 species
AUGCCCUGGCUGCUGCAGGGUCCUGGGGGGGCACAGGGAGGACAGCCCCCACCCGUCUAUUGGGGUCUCAGCCCCCCGAUUGCGGGCUCAGCCACCGCAUUGCGGGUUCAGGGGACUCAGCCCCCCCAUCGCGGACUCAGCCUCCCCAUCGCGGGCUCAACCCCCCCCAUCGCGGGCUCAGCCCCCCCCAUCGCGGGCUCAACCCCCCCCAUCGCGGGCUCACCCCCCCCCAUCGCGGGCUCAGCCCCCCCAUCGCGGGCUCAACCCCCCCAUCGCGGGCUCAACCCCCCCCAUCGCGGGCUCAGCCCCCCCAUCGCGGACUCAGCCCCCCCAUCGCAGGCUCAGCCCCCCCAUCGCGGACUCAGCUCCCCCAUCGCGGGCUCAGCUCCCCCAUCGCGGGCUCAACCCCCCCAUCGCGGGCUCAACCCCCCCAUCGCGGGCUCAACCCUCCCCAUCGCGGGCUCAACCCCCCCAUCGCGGGCUCAACCCCCCAUCGCAGGCUCAGCCCCCCCAUCGCGGACUCAGCUCCCCCAUCGCGGACUCACCCCCCCAUCGCGGGCUCAACCCCCCCAUCGCGGGCUCAACCCCCCCAUCGCAGGCUCAGCCCCCCAUCGCGGACUCAGCUCCCCAUCGCGGACUCAACCCCCCAUCGCGGGCUCAACACCCCCAUCCGCGGACUCAACCACCCCAUCGCGGGCUCAACACACCCCCAUCGCAGGCUCAGCCCCCCCAUCGCGGACUCAGCUCCCACAUCGCGGACUCAACCCCCCCAUCGCGGGCUCAACACCCCCAUCGCGGACUCAACACCCCCCAUCGCGGGCCCUCAACACCCCCCAUCGCGGACUCACCCCCCCAUCGCGGGCUCAACACCCCCAUCGCGACUCAACCCCCCCCAUCGCGGACUCAGCUCCCCCAUCGCGGACUCAACCCCCCCAUCGCGGGCUCAGCCCCCCCAUCGCGGACUCAGCCCCCCCAUCGCGGGCUCAGCCCCGCGGUGCCCGCAGUUCCCGAGCUCCCGCUGCCGGGGUGUCCG